rnacentral:rRNA from 1 species
GACGAACGCUGGCGGCGUGCUUAACACAUGCAAGUCGAACGGAAAGGCCCUGCUUGCAGGGUACUCAAGUGGCGAACGGGUGAGUAACACGUGGGUGAUCUGCCCUGCACUUCGGGAUAAGCUUGGGAAACUGGGUCUAAUACCGGAUAGGAGCCAUCUUUAGUGUGGUGGUUGGAAAGUUUUUUCGGUGUAGGAUGAGCUCGCGGCCUAUCAGCUUGUUGGUGGGGUAAUGGCCUACCAAGGCGGCGACGGGUAGCCGGCCUGAGAGGGUGUACGGCCACAUUGGGACUGAGAUACGGCCCAGACUCCUACGGGAGGCAGCAGUGGGGAAUAUUGCACAAUGGGCGCAAGCCUGAUGCAGCGACGCCGCGUGGGGGAUGAAGGCCUUCGGGUUGUAAACUCCUUUCGCUAGGGACGAAGCUUUGUUGUGACGGUACCUAGAUAAGAAGCACCGGCUAACUACGUG